GUUGACGUUAAAAAUGAAGCAGUGAGCUGUUCACCCAUGACAUUUAGGAGCCCUUUCCAACACAAAAAAACCCAUAGGGUCACCCUUUGAGCCAGAAUGGGUAAAUUACUCUCAAAUCAGAUGUCAAGUCAUGUUUUGUCAGAUUUUUUUCCACUGGGAGUAGUCAAUUGGAAUGUAAAAUGAAUGUUUUGUUCUUCACAGGCAUGUUGCCCAGAAUGCAAGCUUUGACCCUUGAGGUUGGAUUUACUGAAAUAAGCCCACUAGCGCCACCUCCACCCAAACUGUGGGCUGAAAAGGGGGAAAAUUAUAGAGUUCCAGGGAAACUGCUUCAAAAUGAAAAAUAAAAGUAUAAAAAAGCUUGGAAAAAAAAAACUUCGGCAUUGUCGCAUGCAAACUGAGGGUUAUCAAGGCUUCAGAGAAGGACGUGCAUGUUAGAGGUUUCGGGGAGUGAGACCGAUGCAACCGGAAACUAAAACCAGGUGGAAAGGGGAGUGACAGGACUAGAGUAAGCCAUGACAGCUUACUGGUGACCUCUAGAAAAAAUAGUACUGAGAAGAAGAAGAAAAAUUAUAAUAAAGCAGCAAUUUGGUAUUUCAACAGUUUUCCAGCAGCGAAAGUGUCUCUGUGGGUAUGUAGCUCAAUUCGCACCAUACCUAAAUAGUUUCACUGUUAAUAAUCUCUCGCAGCAAUGAGGGCAACAAUAAUUACCUCAGUGCUGAGCAGAGGGGAUGUGGGCUGGUGAUUUAGCUAUCAUCCCCAAGGAAACUAAGCAGAAUCUCUGCGAGAGCAAAAUUCCCACAAUGCACCACUGUAUUUAUGAAGCAACCGCAGCUCUAAAGCACCUCGAGAGACACUGGCGAUAGACUCGCCAAUUGCAAGGAUCAUAUCUGUGGCUCAAGGCUACAAAAAUACCAGUGUAUAAACAUAGCAUAAAUAUGUUAAAAGUCACUGAUGCUUUGCAGCGCCCCAGGUUAAGGUUUUCAUUUUGCUCCUGUUGUGGAUAGACAGGAGUUUUUGACUGUGGUAGAAAGCAACAUGAGAUGAGCAAAUAACGCACGUUAAGUCAAAUCAGACCACAUUACACAUGGCUGACGCCUUUGAUUUUAGAAUGUUAGCCAACAUUUACAACAUGGCAUGAGAGAUGUGAUCACAUGACAAAAAAGUAAAACAGUUACGUACAUAGAAGACUUUUGCGAUUGAUACACACAAGCUUGCAUACAAGCACGCACUGGGAAUCCUGGAACUGGGA